GUCUGAACUCAGAUCAUGUGAUCUGACUGUGGUAAGGUAGCAUAAUAAUUCGUCUUUUUAUUGAAGUCUAGAAUAAAUGGUUAGACGAAGAAAAUUUCAUUUUUAAGAUAAUUUAAAUAAUUUUUUUUAAAAGUUAAAAAACUUUUACUUCCUAAGGGGACGACAAGACCCUAAAAUCUGUCUUAAAACAAACACUAAGAAAUAUUAUAUUAAAAGACUUGCUGGGGCGGUAAACCUUACAAACAAUUUAAAUACAACCGCUUUGAGCGAACCUUCCUGACCUUCUUACACAUAUAAAAAGAUACUUUAGGGAUAACAGCAUAAUUUCACUUUAGAGCUCUUAUCGCCAGUGAAGAUUAUGACCUCGAUGUUGAAUUGAGAAAGCUAAG
rnacentral:rRNA from 1 species